rnacentral:rRNA from 1 species
AGUGAACGCUGGCGGUAGGCCUAACACAUGCAAGUCGAACGGCAGCACAGUAAGAGCUUGCUCUUACGGGUGGCGAGUGGCGGACGGGUGAGGAAUACAUCGGAAUCUACUUUUUCGUGGGGGAUAAUGUAGGGAAACUUACGCUAAUACCGCAUAUGACCUACGGGUGAAAGCAGGGGAUCUUCGGACCUUGCGCGAUUGAAUGAGCUGAUGUCGGAUUAGCUAGUUGGCGGGGUAAAGGCCCACCAAGGCGACGAUCCGUAGCUGGUCUGAGAGGAUGAUCGGCCACACUGGAACUGAGACACGGUCCAGACUCCUACGGGAGGCGGCAGUGGGGAAUAUUGGACAAUGGGCGCAAGCCUGAUCCAGCCAUACCGCGUGGGUGAAGAAGGCCUUCGGGUUGUAAAGCCCUUUUGUUGGGAAAGAAAAGCAGCAGGUUAAUACCCCGCUGUUCUGACGGUACCCAAAGAAUAAGCACCGGCUAACUUCGUG